AUACGUAGGGGGCUAGCGUUAUCCGGAAUUACUGGGCGUAAAGGGUGCGUAGGUGGUUUCUUAAGUCAGAAGUGAAAGGCUACGGCUCAACCGUAGUAAGCUUUUGAAACUAAGAGACUUGAGUGCAGGAGAGGAGAGUAGAAUUCCUAGUGUAGCGGUGAAAUGCGUAGAUAUUAGGAGGAAUACCAGUUGCGAAGGCGGCUCUCUGGACUGUAACUGACACUGAGGCACGAAAGCGUGGGGAGCAAACAGGAUUAGAUACCCUGGUAGUCCACGCCGUAAACGAUGAGUACUAGCUGUCGGGGGUUACCCCCCUCGGUGGCGCAGCUAACGCAUUAAGUACUCCGUCUGGGAAGUACGCUCGCAAGAGUGAAACUCAAAUGAAUUGGCGGGG
rnacentral:rRNA from 1 species